rnacentral:sRNA from 1 species
UACCCGAGACUCCGUCUGGUCCAUCAGC